rnacentral:rRNA from 1 species
AUGGAACCAAACUCUAAUCUCUGGAAACUAAUGAACAAACACUGGUUUGAUAAGGAUAGACCCACAAUCAUUAGGUGGAAAAAGGGGUUGCUGGCUGAUUUAGAAAUCCUAAAAUACAGGAUCAAGACUGAUCAAGACAGGUUUGAUAAGGAUAGACCCACAAUCCCUGUUGUAGUUUGCUCUGUUUUCUUUUCUUUCCUCGACCGUUUUUUUAGGGCCCAAAAUAUCCAGAAAGGGUGUUGGGGGAGGAAGAGGAGAUCACGGUCGGCAGCUCUGCGUCCAUUCAUCCAGGCCGAGAUAAUAACGAUGCCCAAUCCGGAUUUGGACGCCUCAUCUCUGAACAUUAGAAACACUGAGCAGUCAAUGUUACUUGCUAUAAAUUUCGAUAUAGGAUAUUCUUGA